rnacentral:lncRNA from 11 species
UAUUGGUGACGAAUCUUUGAGCUUCAUUUUUCCAGAACAAAGAAAUGGAGGACCUCUGGGGAGAGCUUGCAAGUUUCCUGGCAUGUGGAUGGUCACCUUGGAGAACCUGCUUUGGCGAGGGGCUGCGUAAUGUCGAAUAUAAGGAAUCAGUCAAGGGCUGGGACAAAGGCAACUGAAAAAGCAAUGCAGUCAUUUUCUCCAGCAUAUUGCAUUUUUAAUGCAGCCAAAGAAAGGAUGGUGGUCCUUUUGUUCAGAUUAACAAAACUAUGAAUAAUAUUAAAUGUUGG